GCAAUCUCUAAAUUGAGAGUUGGCUCAGGUCCUCGAACUGAUGGCCUAGUUAAUUAAUUUUAUUCACUUUGUCAAGAGGAGAUCUCCAGCUAUCUGUGUCAAAAUUUAAACGAAAUUAAGGAGGCAGGUCAAGCACAUCCAGAAAUGUUGGAAGCUCAAAUAACAAUCCCCAAAACAAACAAUCCAACCCCUGAAUUUAGGGACUUUAGACCUAUUUCCCUACUAAACGUGGAUAUUAAGAUCUAUGCUAAAAUUUUAGUGGAAAGAUUGAAUCAAUACAUCCACAAUCUGAUCAAUUUUGAUCAAACAGGUUUUAUCCAGGAGAGACAGGGUUCAGAUAACAUCAG